rnacentral:lncRNA from 12 species
GCUCCAGCCCAGCCCCCAGCCCUGCCCCAGCCCAGCCCCAGCCCCAGCCCUGCCCCAGCCCCAGCCCCGCCUCCUGCCCACCGGGACGCUGCCCUCCCUCCGCAGAGCCACUCUCAAGGACGGACGGGAGGUGUGUCUCAACCCCGAGGCCCCGCUGGUCAAGAGAAUGAUCCAGAAGAUGCUGAGCAAGGCCUCGCAACCUGAGCUAGAGAGAAUGCAGCAGCCUACGGCCUAACCGCAGCAGCCUGAGUGCAACGGAAGCAAGAGAAGAGAGACAAAAACCUCCUGAGACCACCUGGACUGUUUAAUGCCAUUCUUGGUUAUUUCCUAUGAGUAUUCAUUAUUUUUUGACAUAUGUAUUUAUUUAUUUAUUUAUUUUCUCAAAGUUGACACAUAUUAACGUCCCAGCUCGUGGAUUUGCUGAUGUGCUGUGCUAUUAUUUCUAAAAUGUAUUUUUGAUGUUCCAUCAAAGUUGGUUCGGUUUUGUUAUUUAGUUUGUAGAUGAUAAGUCUUAAAUAUUCUUCGUUAAGUUCUGGGGGAGUGGUGGUGGGGGUAACCAUGCCGUAUGGUAAUUCACCAUGAUAAAGGCUGGAGAUAGUGUGGGAUCCAAGCAAAUAUAUCACUGUUAAGGUUGUGGAAUGUAUGCAUCUGUCUUUGUACUGUUGAGAACAAAGCCAGUUGUUAUUUAUUGAGACAGUUUCACAGUUAUGUGGUCAACAUUUCUGAUGUUGAAGCUUUAAAAACUCCAAUGUUUUAAAUAUCCCUUGGACAUUUUAUGUCUUCCUUGUAAGGCAUAAUGCCUUGUUUAGUGUUCAUUAUAUGGUAUUUCUCUAUAUCUAGGAAUAGAGAUGUUUAAAUAUUUAUUGAUGUAUUUUUACAAAGAGCAUGAAAAUAAAAGCUUUUUACAAAAGUUCCUUGCUUCGUUU